rnacentral:rRNA from 1 species
UACAGAGGUCUCAAGCGUUGUUCGGAUUCAUUGGGCGUAAAGGGCGCGUAGGCUGCGGGGCAAGUCGGGUGUGAAAUCUCAGAGCUCAACUCUGAAACUGCACUCGAUACUGCUUUGCUUGAGGACUGGAGAGGAGAUUGGAAUUCACGGUGUAGCAGUGAAAUGCGUAGAUAUCGUAAGGAAGACCAGUGGCGAAGGCGGGUCUCUGGACAGUUCCUGACACUGAGACACGAAGGCCAGGGGAGCAAACGGG